rnacentral:rRNA from 1 species
AGAGUUCGAUCCUGGCUCAGGAUGAACGCUGGCGGCGCGCCUAACACAUGCAAGUCGAACGGUAAGGGCCCCCUCGGGGGCCACACGAGUGGCGAACGGCUGAGUAACACGUGGGCAACCUGCCCCCCUCCCCGGGAUAGCCUCGCGAAAGCGGGAUUAAUACCGGAUACUCCGCCAGCCCCGCAUGGGGGCGGCGGGAAAGCCGAGACGGUGGGGGAUGGGCCCGCGGCCUGUUAGCUAGUUGGUGGGGCAACGGCCCACCAAGGCGAUUAUGGGUAGCCGGGUUGAGAGACCGACCGGCCAGAUUGGGACUGAGACACGGCCCAGACUCCUACGGGAGGCAGCAGUGGGGAAUCUUGCGCAAUGGGCGGAAGCCUGACGCAGCGACGCCGCGUGCGGGACGAAGGCCUUCGGGUCGUAAACCGCUUUCAGCAGGGAUGAGGCCGAGAGGUGACAGUACCUGCAGAAGAAGCCCCGGCUAACUACGUGCCAGCAGCCGCGGUAAUACGUAGGGGGCGAGCGUUAUCCGGAUUCAUUGGGCGUAAAGCGCGCGUAGGCGGCCUCGUAGGCCGGGAGUCAAAUCCGGGGGCUCAACCCCCGCCCGCUCCCGGAACCCCGAGGCUUGAGUCUGGUAGGGGAGGGCGGAAUUCCCAGUGUAGCGGUGGAAUGCGCAGAUAUUGGGAAGAACACCGGUGGCGAAGGCGGCCCUCUGGGCCACGACUGACGCUGAGGCGCGAAAGCUGGGGGAGCGAACAGGAUUAGAUACCCUGGUAGUCCCAGCCGUAAACGAUGGACGCUAGGUGUGGGGGGACCUGCCCCCCGUGCCGCAGCCAACGCACUAAGCGUCCCGCCUGGGGAGUACGGCCGCAAGGCUAAAACUCAAAGGAAUUGACGGGGGCCCGCACAAGCAGCGGAGCAUGUGGCUUAAUUCGAAGCCACGCGAAGACCCUUACCUGGGCUUGACAUGCAGGUGAAGCGGCGGAGACGCCGUGGCCGAGAGGAGCCUGCGCAGGUGGUGCAUGGCUGUCGUCAGCUCGUGUCGUGAGAUGUUGGGUUAAGUCCCGCAACGAGCGCAACCCCCGUCGCGUGUUGCCAUCAUUCAGUUGGGCACCCGCGCGAGACCGCCGGCGUCAAGCCGGAGGAAGGUGGGGACGACGUCAAGUCAUCAUGCCCCUUAUGCCCAGGGCUGCACACGUGCUACAAUGGCCGGCACAACGGGCUGCGAACCCGCGAGGGCGAGCGAAUCCCUUAAAGCCGGCCCCAGUUCGGAUCGGUGGCUGCAACCCGCCACCGUGAAGUCGGAGUUGCUAGUAAUCGCGGAUCAGCACGCCGCGGUGAAUGCGUUCCCGGGCCUUGUACACACCGCCCGUCACACCACCCGAGUCGUCUGCACCCGAAGUCGCCGGCCCAACCGCGAGGGGGGAGGCGCCUAAGGUGUGGAGGGUAAGGGGGGUGAAGUCGUAACAAGGUAGCCGUACCGGAAGGUGCGGCUG